UAGGGAAUCUUCCGCAAUGGACGCAAGUCUGACGGAGCAACGCCGCGUGAGUGAAGAAGGAUUUCGGUUCGUAAAACUCUGUUGUUAGAGAAGAACAGCGCAUAGAGUAACUGUUAUGCGUGUGACGGUAUCUAACCAGAAAGCCACGGCUAACUACGUGCCAGCAGCCGCGGUAAUACGUAGGUGGCAAGCGUUGUCCGGAAUUAUUGGGCGUAAAGCGCGCGUAGGCGGUUUUUUAAGUCUGAUGUGAAAGCCCACGGCUCAACCGUGGAGGGUCAUUGGAAACUGGAAAACUUGGGUGCAGAAGAGGAAAGCGGAAUUCCAUGUGUAGCGGUGAAAUGCGCAGAGAUAUGGAGGAACACCAGUGGCGAAGGCGACUUUCUGGUCUGUAACUGACGCUGAUGUGCGAAAGCGUGGGGAUCAAACAGG
rnacentral:rRNA from 1 species